UGGGGCUUGGCAAAGAAGGCAACAGGUUCUGGUCCUGAUAUUUGGAGGUUCGAAUCCUUCCGCCCCUG
rnacentral:tRNA from 1 species